rnacentral:RNase_P_RNA from 1 species
GCUGCAAGCUGCGCUAUCGUUCCGUUUUUAGCGGGAAGGAAAGUCCGGACAGCAAAGAGCAACGCAUCCCGCUAACAGCGGGACUUCUUUGAAAAAAGAACGAGAUAGUGCCACAGAAAAUAACGGCUUCCAUUUUGCCCAGGCAAAAUUUAUCCAGCAAUGGAGAGCAAUGUUGAAAACGUGGGGUAAGAGCCCACGGCGGUUAAAUGGUAACAUUAACUUCGGGUAAACCUUGCGUGCUGAAAUGCCAAAUAUAUCCUGCCUUUUGGGCUGCUCGUUCAAGUUUUGUGAAAACAGGCGGCAGGUGUGGGUAGGCAGAUAGAGGUAGUCAGCAAUGGCUAUCCCAGAUAAAUGAUAGCGGCUCCUAAUGCUUAGCAUGAAGGAGUACAGAAUCCGGCUUACAGGCUUGCAGUAUUU